rnacentral:tRNA from 2 species
GGGUGAUUAGCUCAGUUUGGUUAGAGUGCUACGUUGACAUCGUAGAGGUCACUGGUUCAACUCCAGUAUCACCCACCA